ACCAUGGCAUGGGCCCAUUGCCAUACUUUAUUGGCGAUGAAGUGAGUUCCUUGAUCAAAAGCAAGGCUGCAUACAAAACCAUGACGGUGGAUAAGGCAUCCUGGAAGCCUAUGGCUGAUACCUUUGCUAGAAGCAUUUCAUGCAGAGAAGGAAAAUCUACACCCAAGGUCACAUGAAGAACCAACACCAAGAAGGCUUUAGAAGGCAGACAAAGAGGACUAAACAAGAAUUUCUUGGUGAUUCUAACGUGCGCCCAGGUUUGAGAACCACUCAGAUACAUGGAGGAAGGGGGCGAUGGAGAGACACUGCGGUGUUUAGCAUCCUACAGGACAUCAGACCAGGUGUUAACAUCUUCAGUGGAUACUUUGGGGAGCCACAUUCACCCUCUUAACUCUCUACCCCUUCUUGCAGCUGCUGUAGGCUUAUCUGUGCUGGUGGCUGCUGGAGGGGGAAGAGACCCUGGUCAAAGAAGAAACAUGCAGUGUAUCAAUACAUGAGUAGAGGAAGAAGCCUCAUCUUUCCAUCUUUGUAUCUCCCACAGCCUCACACACACUGUUUGGCACAGAAUACGACACAGUUUAUUAACCAAAGAAGAUACUUGAUUGUCACUGACACAUUGUCAAAUUUCACAGCCUGACCAGGGUAAGCUUACUCCUCCGAUGCCCAGGUAUGGGUGACCUGUCCCACAGCUCUGACCUGGCUCAGAUCAUCCCCCUCUUUAAGUCACAUGCUCCUCCUCUUCUCGUUCCAAACUUUGACCCUCACUUUGACACGAGGGGUCUGGUCACACAACCACUUGGAUUUCCUCUUCUCUGUAAAACAAAAAGAUGUGGUCUUCAUUCUCCAGAGGCCUAAGAACAUGGAAAAAGGAGUCCACAUCAGGAAGCAACUCCUCAGUAAAUGUUUCCUCAGCUCCCAAUAAACAUUUGUUAAAUUAAGGUCCCAGAUGUGAUGAUCAGUGAGGA